AGGUGGUUGAUCACUUCCGGUCUUCUGUUCUCGCUGUUUGAUUACUAUAGGCCCAGUAGCGAUAUUUUUAUUUAGCGCUUUCUUGUAGUGUUAAAUGUGGCAUCAUCUGGUUAAAUGGAAACGAGAAAUAGAAGCAAUGUUCGAGCAGAACUGUACUGGUACCCGUCUUUUGUUUGCUACCUAGGGGCCUAGGGGAGUGCCAGCUUGUGAAGCAAAUAUAUUUCAUGUUGAUUUAUUGUGAUACUGAUAAAUAAUUAAAAUAAACCAUUCAAGCUAUGUGUAAUGUGUUUGUAUGGUUAUGUUGAUGGUUAAAUAGGUUGAGAAUUGAAGCCAAAUGACCAAUUUUCGCGAAAAAGGGAUCUGCCAG